rnacentral:rRNA from 1 species
UACGUAGGGUGCAAGCGUUAUCCGGAAUCACUGGGCGUAAAGCGUGCGUAGGUGGAUGUUUAAGUGUGAUGUUAAAUCGUGGGGCUCAACCCUGUCGAUGCAUCGCAUACUGGACGUCUAGAGGGAAGCAGAGGCAAGUGGAAUUGGUAGUGUAGCAGUGAAAUGCGUAGAUUAUUACCAGGAACACCAAAUGGCGAAGGCAGCUUGCUGGGCUUCUUCUGACACUGAGGUACGAAAGCGUGGGGAGCGAACAGG